rnacentral:rRNA from 1 species
CUUCGGAACACCGGCAAACUGCUCAGUAACACGUCGAUAAUCUGCCCUUAGGUCAGGCAUAACCUUGGGAAACUGAGGCUAAUACCUGAUAUGGAAAUUCUACUGCAAUGUGUUUUUCUUCAAAGAUUACGCCUAAGGAUGAGUUGGCGGCGGAUUAGCUUGUUGGUGGGGUAAUGGCCCACCAAGGCUAAGAUCCGUAGGGGCCUUGGAAGAGGUAGCCCCGAGAAGGGCACUGAGAUACUGGCCCUAGCCCUACGGGGUGCAGCAGGCGCGAAACCUUUACACUACACGAAAGUGUGAUAAGGGAAUCCCAAGUGCUUAUACUCUGUAUAGGCUUUUUUCAAGAGUAAAGAUCUUGGAGAAUAAGUGGUGGGAAAGACUGGUGCCAGCAGCCGCGGUAAUACCAGCGCCACAAGUGGGGGCCAUGUUUAUUGGGCCUAAAGCGUUCGUAGCUGGUUCUGUUAAUCUUUUGUGAAAUCGUUGGGCUUAACCUAACGGCGUGCAGGAGACACUGCAGAACUUGGGACCGGGAGGGGUUAGAAGUAUUUCUGGGGGAGCGGUAAAAUGCAGUAAUCCCAGGAGGACUACCUGUGGCGAAGGCGUCUAACCAGAACGGGUCCGACAGUGAGGAACGAAAGCCAGGGGAGCAAACCGGAUUAGAUACCCGAGUAGUCCUGGCUGUAAACGCUGCGAGCAAGGUGUUGCACAUUCUAACAGGAAUGUGCAGUGUCGAAACGAAGGUGUUAAGCUCGCCGCCUGGGAAGUACGGUCGCAAGACUGAAACUUAAAGGAAUUGGCGGGGGCUCACUACAAGGGGUGCGGCGUGCGGUUUAAUUGGA